CCUACGGGUGGCUGCAGUGAGGAAUAUUGGUCAAUGGGCGCGAGCCUGAACCAGCCAAGUCGCGUGAGGGAUGACGGUCCUACGGAUUGUAAACCUCUUUUGCCGGGGAGCAAGCGUGCGUUCGUGAACGCGCGUCGAGAGUACCCGGAGAAAAAGCAUCGGCUAAUUCCGUGCCAGCAGCCGCGGUAAUACGGAAGGCCCGAGCGUUAUCCGGAUUCAUUGGGCUUAAAGGGAGCGUAGGCGGGCGUUCAAGUCAGCUGUAAAAUCGCGCGGCUCAACCGCGCCCCGCAGUUGAAACUGGACGCCUUGAGUUCACAACAGGCAGGCGGAAGUCGUGGUGUAGCGGUGAAAUGCAUAGAUAUCACGAGGAACCCCGAUUGCGAAGGCAGCCUGCCGGGGUGCGACUGACGCUGAGGCUCGAAGGAGCGGGUAUCAAACAGGAUUAGAUACCCUAGUAGUC
rnacentral:rRNA from 1 species